rnacentral:rRNA from 1 species
CAAUAGCGUAUAUUAAAGUUGUUGCGGUUAAAAAGCUCGUAGUUGGAUUUCUGCCGAGGACGACCGGUCCGCCCUCUGGGUGUGUAUCUGGUUUGGCCUGGGCAUCUUCUUGGAGAACGUAGCUGCACUUGACUGUGUGGUGCGGUGUCCAGGACUUUUACUUUGAGGAAAUUAGAGUGUUUCAAGCAGGCACACGCCUUGAAUACAUUAGCAUGGAAUAAUAAGAUAGGACCUCGGUUCUAUUUUGUUGGUUUGCAUACCAAAUUAAUGAUCAACAGGAACAGUUUGAGGAUAUUCGUAUGAACAUGUCAGAGGUGAAAUUCUUGGAUUUUGAUCAGACGAACUACUGCGAAAGCAUUUAUCAAGGAUGUUUUCAUUAA